AUGGGCGGAGUCCUAUUAUUCGAUGGAUUUUGUAAAGGAAUGUUAAAUUCCUCUCCAACAGUGGACGUACACAUCAAAAGUAAGUCAAUAUCUUUCAUAGUAACUUCAUUAUUUUGAGUUAUGUUUGCUAGAUCAUUAUUAGAAAUCAGAAGGAUAGGCUAACAUGUUGAGAUCUCAAGCGAAAAUUUUAAAAGACAUAAAACCUAAAGUAACAAUAAUCAUGAUUGAGAUAUGAUAGCAAAAGUUGUGUUUUGACUAAUUUGAUUGGAUGAAUAGUAAUUUGUUUUAAAAAGGAAUUGACAUUGAAGUUA
rnacentral:lncRNA from 1 species